GACGAACCGUCCAAACGUUGUUCGGAAUCACUGGGCUUAAAGGGCGCGUAGGCGGGCCAGCCAGUCCGGGGUGAAAUCUUUCGGCUUAACCGGAAAAGUGCCUUGGAUACUGCUGGUCUAGAGGGAGGUAGGGGCAUGUGGAACUUCUGGUGGAGCGGUGAAAUGCGUUGAUAUCAGAAGGAACGCCGGUGGCGAAAGCGACGUGCUGGAUCUCUUCUGACGCUGAGGCGCGAAAGCCAGGGGAGCAAACGGG
rnacentral:rRNA from 1 species